UACAGAGGUCCCAAGCGUUGUUCGGAUUCACUGGGCGUAAAGGGUGUGUAGGUGGCGGGGUAAGUCUGAUGUGAAAUCUCCGAGCUUAACUCGGAAACUGCAUCGGAUACUGCCUUGCUCGAGGGUUGGAGGGGGGACUGGAAUACUUGGUGUAGCAGUGAAAUGCGUAGAUAUCAAGUGGAACACCGGUGGCGAAGGCGGCUCACUGGACCGACAUUGACGCUGAGGCGCGAAAGCGUGGGGAGCAAACAGG
rnacentral:rRNA from 1 species